CGUGAAUUUUGAUAGUUUCAUACUGAUUUUCGUUAAUUUGAUAGGAAGAAAACGAGAAGAAGAACAACAUAAACGAGAAGAAGAAGAAAACGAAUUUUCUCUCAAUUCGUUGAGGUGUAUUCGUCUGUUUUUCAGAUCUGACGAGAUAGUGAAGCUGCAUUGAUGAACAACAAAUAGUCUGAGAAGAGGAAGAAGACAGUUGGGAAUACAUAAAUCAAAAUAGAGGAACAAAAUAAACAUUGUUUCAGAAGAAAGAAAACAACAAAUCUAGGUUGUCAUGGCUGUUGUUAGUUGCGCUGCUGUUAGUUGCAUUGCUGUUGUUCGCUACUUUUCUGAUUUCAUUACCCUGCGUGUUAAUACUGAUAUCAAACUUGAUGAGUUUAAGGAACAAGUUUGCAAGGAAUGGAAGCAGUAUACUCCACUUGGUAUUACUUUCUUCUUUCGAGAAAGUGGGAAAGAUUUUC